UCCUUCCGGUGCUGCUCGUCACAAUAUAUAUGCCUAAUUAUAUAUUUUGCCUAUAUAUAUGUAUAGGAUAUAUAUAAUUAGGCUAUAAUUAUAUUAUUUAGCGUGUAAUGAGACAAUCUAUAGCCAAAUUGUCGAAAUAGAGAAUCCCCGAGAAUCUCCGGGGAUAUCAGCAUGGGAAAUCGGCGAAUCAGACCCAUGAACCUAUAAAGAAAGACGUCAUCUGAAGCGGGAGAGAACGUUUGCGAUGCUGGUUUGUGUCACGUAAGUACAGGGCUCUCAUGUCUCAUGCAUUCGGCGUGAGACACACGCAAUUCAACCCAUGCACACGCUCGAACCUGUGCCGUGUUCCAAUACCCGUACUGUCCGUACUUACUAGCCAAAAUUUGAGUACGCAGUACGUUCCAAUUCAGAUCCGGCGAAAAGAAGUAUACUUCAAGGACCCGGAUGCCGUACUCAAAACGGGCUAAUCCUGAAGUGUGGAUUUUCCUUUCUGAUUAGCUCUUAAUUGAGAUCACCUGUCACGCACCCCUUUAUAAAGGUUAACACAAUGGGUUUGGUUUACUUUUCGCAUCGGCCUGUGUCAAUCGAGGUUGAGUUUAUUGAGGGUUGAAAGUUUUCGAUCUAGAUUGCAGAUCACUAUUGUCACUUUAUACAAACUGAAAGUAUGCGUUGUUGCGUGUUUGUUUUUGUGGUCAUUUGACUGAACAGCCCAGAAAAAUAUUGCUACCAACAUGGCACUUCGAAACAGACCACCGCAGUGUUAGAUGACUGACAAGAUCUAUGGGGGGGCCCCCUUUGGGCCCCCCCAUACCAACUUAGUCUUCAAAGGAAUCUAGUGCCAUGGGACUCCAGUGUCUUCAAAACAUACUCGGAAUACAUGAGUAUGAAUGGUCCACCGAAGGGUUGAUCUGGAAGUCACCACGGUCCACGCAGUAAUCUGCUGCGUGGGCCGUAGUGGCUUCCAGAGCCAUCUUUCGGUCUUGGUCAGGAUUUGUUACAGUUGUCCUUCAAUGUAGCAGGCUACGGGUUUCUGAAGAAGCCUGCUUUACGUAGCAUUGGCGUACAAAUAUUGUGCAAAAUGCUCAUGUAAUUGCACUAGCACUAGUAACCUGUAGUUUAGCUUAGUUUAACGUCAUUCCGUGCUGUCUCUGUCAAAUGUGUGGCUUACUUUAAGUCCACAAGGCCCUCUGGUAAACCACGUUGGAACACCCCUGGACAAGGUGAUUAGUCACUGGGUGUGUGCUAAAGUUUUGUUCCAUUUUUCACUAGUUGGUUAAGGUUUGGUAGAAUUGUUUGGAUGCUAGCGACGUGAUGGCGUAUGUACAAGAGCCUACCGUGGCCAGGCCACAGUUGCGACGGCCACGGCCAGAUGGCCUAGUGUGAGUGCAACCUUGAUUGCAUUUGUAUACUGUUUACCAUUGGAUGUUUAUGCAAUUUGGCUUAAUUCAUCUGCAGUAAAGCUGCAUUUGACUAUUCCAGGGUCGUUUUGUACAGGCUUUCAAUUGACCAUGUUGACUAGUUUGUGGGAAGUUUUUUUUUUUUUUUUUACCCUUGCUUACAAUCCAACGGUUGUGACCACUUAUGCAACUGGGCUGUGAACCUUGCAAUUCUAGUUGUAUAUUUGUACACGCAAGCUUGUCCAUUUCUAUCGCCAUCACUAACACUAGCUUCAGCAUUUCCUUGUAGGCCAUUAGCUGACUUGUGUAUUGGAGCGAUGAUUUGGGUAUUUUAAGAUGCUUGAAAACCUAAAAUAAAGCAAAAUGCGUGUCUGGUGUGCAAGAGCCAAUUUGUUGGCUUGCAGUAGUCAU